GUGCUCACUUUGGCAGUGCGUAUACUGAAAUUGGAACAGUACAGAGAAGAUUAGCAUCGC
rnacentral:snRNA from 1 species